AGGACUGCCUGGCCAAGGAGUCGGUGAUCCGGCCCGAGAACAACCAGGUCAUCAACCUCACCACGCAGUACCCCUGGUCGGGAUGCCAGGUGGUGCCGGGGGGGCUCCUGAGCUGCUCGAGCGGGCGCAGUUUCCGCUCGGUGCGGGAGCGCUGGUGGUACGUGGCCCUCAGCAAGUGCGGGGGGGACGGCCUGGAGCUGGAGCACGAGAUGGUUUUGACCAACUGGGA